rnacentral:rRNA from 1 species
GCAGAUAUCAGGAGGAACACCGAUGGCGAAGGCAGUUCUCUGGGCCGUAACUGACGCUGAGGAGCGAAAGCGUGGGGAGCGAACAGGAUUAGAUACCCUGGUAGUCCACGCCGUAAACGUUGGGCGCUAGAUGUGGGGACCAUUCCACGGUUUCCGUGUCGCAGCUAACGCAUUAAGCGCCCCGCCUGGGGAGUACGGCCGCAAGGCUAAAACUCAAAGGAAUUGACGGGGGCCCGCACAARCGGCGGAGCAUGCGGAUUAAUUYGAUGCAACGCGAAGAACCUUACCAAGGCUUGACAUACACGAGAACGGGCCAGAAAUGGUCAACUCUUUGGACACUCGUGAACAGGUGGUGCAUGGUUGUCGUCAGCUCGUGUCGUGAGAUGUUGGGUUAAGUCCCGCAACGAGCGCAACCCUCGUUCUAUGUUGCCAGCGCGUAAUGGCGGGAACUCAUAGGAGACUGCCGGGGUCAACUCGGAGGAAGGUGGGGAUGACGUCAAAUCAUCAUGCCCCUUAUGUCUUGGGCUUCACGCAUGCUACAAUGGCCGGUACAAAGGGCUGCAAUACCGUAAGGUGGAGCGAAUCCCAAAAAGCCGGUCUCAGUUCGGAUUGAGGUCUGCAACUCGACCUCAUGAAGUCGGAGUCGCUAGUAAUCGCAGAUCAGCAACGCUGCGGUGAAUACGUUCCCGGGCCUUGUACACACCGA